rnacentral:hammerhead_ribozyme from 1 species
AUCCAGUGACGAGUUUUAAACAGGACGAAAUGCGCUUCCUGGAU